UGGGGAAUAUUGCGCAAUGGGCGAAAGCCUGACGCAGCAACGCCGCGUGAGUGAUGAAGGCCUUCGGGUCGUAAAGCUCUGUCGGAGGGAACGAAUGCUCCUGAAGUUAACAGCCUCAGGAGGUGACGGUACCCUCAAAGGAAGCACCGGCUAACUCUGUGCCAGCAGCCGCGGUAAUACAGAGGGUGCAAGCGUUGUUCGGAAUUACUGGGCGUAAAGCGUGCGUAGGCGGAUGCUUAAGUCAGAUGUGAAAGCCCUGGGCUUAACCUAGGAAUUGCAUCUGAAACUGGGCGUCUAGAGUAUGGUAGAGGAUGGCGGAAUUUCUGGUGUAGCGGUGAAAUGCGUAGAUAUCAGAAGGAACACCAGUGGCGAAGGCGGCCGUCUGGGCCAAUACUGACGCUGAGGCACGAAAGCAUGGGUAGCGAACAGGAUUAGAUACCCAUGUAGUCCCUGAG
rnacentral:rRNA from 1 species